rnacentral:rRNA from 1 species
GAUGAACGCUGGCGGCGUGCCUAAUACAUGCAAGUCGAGCGAACGGACGAGAAGCUUGCUUUUCUGAUGUUAGCGGCGCACGGGUGAGUAACACGUGGAUAACCUCCCUAUAAGACUGGGAUAACUUCGGGAAACCGGAGCUAAUACCGGAUAAUAUUUUGAACCGCAUGGUUCAAAAGUGAAAGACGGUCUUGCUGUCACUUAUAGAUGGAUCCGCGCUGCAUUAGCUAGUUGGUAAGGUAACGGCUUACCAAGGCAACGAUGCAUAGCCGACCUGAGAGGGGGAUAGGCCACACGGGAACGGAGACGCGGUCCAGGGGCCUGCGGGAGGCAGCAGUAGGGAAUGGGCCGCAGUGGGGGAAAGCCUGGCGGAGCAGGGGCGCGUGAGUGAUGAAGGUCUUGGGAUCGUAAAACUCUGUUAUGAGGGAAGAACAUAUGUGUAAGGGACUGUGCAGAUCGUGACGGUACCUAAUCAGGAAGCCACGGUUAACUACGUG